rnacentral:rRNA from 1 species
UACAGAGGGGGCAAGCGUUAUUCGGAAUUAUUGGGCGUAAAGGGCGCGUAGGCGGCCUGGCAAGUGGAAGGUGAAAUCCCUCGGCUUAACCGAGGAACUGCCCUCCAAACUGCUUGGCUUGAGUCCGGGAGAGGUGAGUGGAAUUCCCAGUGUAGCGGUGAAAUGCGUAGAUAUUGGGAGGAACACCAGUGGCGAAGGCGGCGCACUGGACCGGAACUGACGCUGAGGCGCGAAAGCGUAGGGAGCAAACGGG